GCGAUUAAAAAUAAAAAAAAUGUAUAUAAAAACUAUGAUUUUAUUUACACACUGUAUCAUUUCAACGGUUAAAUUUAACACGGAGGAGUGUUGCAAACAAGUGCUAAGCCAUCUUGGCCAAAGUUGGCCAUCUUGUAAGAUAACCUACAUCCUCUUAUAAUGGCUUCAGUGACAGCACCCAUUAUAUCACUCCUGAUCCACUGCAGUGUGAGCCAUUCCAGGUUUUUAAA